GUAGGUAGCUACUUUUAUUUUAUUUUUAUUUUAUUAACGUCAAACGGCAAUUUACAAAGAUUAAAUAAAUUAAGAUGAAAUGAUAACAAUACAAAUAAAUUUGAUAGACUUAAAACUAAGAUUAUUUCAUGCAAAUAGCGAAAGAAAAAUAAAGUACUAUAUAAACAAACAAUAUAAAAGCAAAUACAUACAGAAUAAACUUGAUGGCUUUAUUGACACAAUGAAACAUGCGGUGUAAAGGAUGGUUGUG